rnacentral:ribozyme from 1 species
UUUUUUUUUUUUUUUUUUAUACUUCUGUAUCAUACAACUUCAACUUCAAUAUAUAACAAGAAGGAGGAACAUCUCUACCAGAGGAACAGACUGGCCAACUCCUAUAAACUUCAAUAU